rnacentral:misc_RNA from 1 species
GCAAACUUGGUCAUUUAGAGGAAGUAAAAGUCGUAACAAGGUUUCCGUAGGUGAACCUGCGGAAGGAUCAUUAUUGAAUAAACUUGGUUUAGACUGUUGCUGGCCUUCCCAGGCAUGUGCACGUUUAUUCCGACUUUAUAACCACCUGUGCACUUUAUGUAGAUCUGAAUAUUGGUCGAGAUAAACUCGGUUUCGGAGGAUCGCAGUGUUCAUUGCCUGCUUUCCUUUAUAUUUCAGAUCUAUGUUUUAUUAUACUCCAUAUAAAGUAUUCGAAUGCGAUAUUUAGGCAUUUGCCUGUAAAAUAAAUACAACUUUCAACAACGGAUCUCUUGGCUCUCGCAUCGAUGAAGAACGCAGC